rnacentral:rRNA from 1 species
GAUGAACGCUGGCGGCGUGCCUAAUACAUGCAAGUCGAGCGAACAGACGAGGAGCUUGCUCCUCUGACGUUAGCGGCGGACGGGUGAGUAACACGUGGAUAACCUACCUAUAAGACUGGGAUAACUUCGGGAAACCGGAGCUAAUACCGGAUAAUAUAUUGAACCGCAUGGUUCAAUAGUGAAAGACGGUUUUGCUGUCACUUAUAGAUGGAUCCGCGCCGCAUUAGCUAGUUGGUAAGGUAACGGCUUACCAAGGCAACGAUGCGUAGCCGACCUGAGAGGAUGGUCGGCCACACUGGAACGGAGACACGGUCCAGACUCCUACGGGAGGCAGCAGUAGGGAAUCUUCCGCAAUGGGCGAAAGCCUGACGGAGCAACGCCGCGGGAGUGAUGAAGGUCUUCGGAUCGUAAAACUCUUUUAUUAGGGAAGAACAAAUUUGUAAGUAACUAUGCACGUCUUGACGGUACCUUAUCAGAAAGCCACGGCUAACUACGUG